rnacentral:rRNA from 1 species
ACGAACGCUGGCGGCGCGCCUAACACAUGCAAGUCGAACGAGCGAGAGAGAGCUUGCUUUCUCGAGCGAGUGGCGAACGGGUGAGUAACGCGUGAGGAACCUGCCUCAAAGAGGGGGACAACAGUUGGAAACGACUGCUAAUACCGCAUAAGCCCACGACCCGGCAUCGGGUAGAGGGAAAAGGAGCAAUCCGCUUUGAGAUGGCCUCGCGUCCGAUUAGCUAGUAGGUGAGGUAACGGCCCACCAAGGCGACGAUCGGUAGCCGGACUGAGAGGUUGAACGGCCACAUUGGGACUGAGACACGGCCCAGACUCCUACGGGAGGCAGCAGUGGGGAAUAUUGCACAAUGGGGGAAACCCUGAUGCAGCGACGCCGCGUGGAGGAAGAAGGUCUUCGGAUUGUAAACUCCUGUUGUUGAGGAAGAUAAUGACGGUACUCAACAAGGAAGUGACGGCUAACUACGUG